AGUAGUGUAGUGCAGCUUGACAGCGUGUUUGUUCUGGGUACAAAAUAUCAUGGGUUCAAAUCCUGUCAUCCCUC
rnacentral:tRNA from 1 species